rnacentral:rRNA from 1 species
UACAGAGGUCCCGAGCGUUGUUCGGAUUUAUUGGGCGUAAAGGGUGCGUAGGCGGCGGAGUAAGUUGGGUGUGAAAUCCCGGGGCUCAACCUCGGAAUGGCAUUCAAUACUGCUUCGCUAGAGUACUGGAGAGGAGGCUGGAAUUUACGGUGUAGCAGUGAAAUGCGUAGAUAUCGUAAGGAAGGCCGGUGGCGAAAGCGACUUCCUGGACCAAUACUGACGCUCAUGUGCGAAAGCGUGGGGAGCAAACAGG